rnacentral:rRNA from 1 species
UGGGGAAUCUUGCGCAAUGAGCGAAAGCUUGACGCAGCAACGCCGCGUGGGGGAAGAAUGCCUUCGGGUUGUAAACCCCUUUCAGGAGGAACGAAGGAUCGGCCGUUAAUAGCGGUCCGGUUUGACGGUACCUUCAGAAGAAGCCCCGGCUAACUACGUGCCAGCAGCCGCGGUAAUACGUAGGGGGCAAGCGUUGUCCGGAAUCAUUGGGCGUAAAGCGCGCGUAGGCGGCUCGAUAAGUCUGCUGUGAAAGUCAAAGGCUCAACCUUUGAAAGCCGGUGGAAACUGUCGAGCUAGAGUCCGGAAGAGGCGAGUGGAAUUCCUGGUGUAGCGGUGGAAUGCGCAGAUAUCAGGAAGAACACCAACGGCGAAGGCAGCUCGCUGGGACGGUACUGACGCU